GGGGAGUACAUAGUCAGAGCACCUCUGAUUGACAAUGGGAGUAAAGUAUUGUACACCCAGAUUGAUAUGCUGUAAAACAACCUCCUGCUGUACUCUCCUCCUCCAAUAUCACCUGGAGACAUGUUUCAAACAGAAGGAGCUGCCAUUCCAGUCCAGUGUGAAUAUGAAAAGAGGUACACGGUGAACAGCAGGGUCCUGAA